GCCCCGCGCCCGCCACGCUCCAUGGCCCCGCGCCGCCGCUGCCACGUGCGCGAGCCCGCCGCCCCGGGCCGCGGAAAGGAGCGGGGGCAGGAGGCAGCAGCGCGCCCUUGGGCCAGGAAGGCUAGGGGCGUCCUGCGCUGCCCGGGCAGACCCCGGCCGCGAUUCCCCCCCCGCUCCGCACGGCCGCGGUCGGCCCGGGGGCCUGGCCCCAGUGCUGGGCGCCCGCGGCAGGAAGGAUGCGGAGGGCAACAAAAACGCUCGGGGGCUGGGGGACACAAGCCCAUCGCCGAGAGCCACCUCUUACGGACUCGAGAGACACCGCAAGCUCCGCUCUUCUGGAACCGAAGGAAGGGGUCUGCCCGGCCCUCUGGCCCCCGCUGGAAAGGGUCAGGGCGGACUGGGGUUAAAGCUGCCUCAAUGUUUGGCUAAUCUAGCGCGGGGGUGCUUGUUUUGCAGGAAGGAUGAGCUUCCCGCCAGCACGCACUGGCGUGUCCCUUUCUACGAAGGGCCUCACACGCUUUCUCUCGUUCCUGCGCGCUCUCGGCGGGCCGAGGAUGCUCUCCCGUCCUCCGCGGCUCUCUUCCCUCACGAAUAUUUCAAAGUUUCCCAAUUCUAACAGCUUCACUGCAGCUCUUAGGCUGAGGAUGUAGAAGCCUCUGCCAUCGCCAGUCUGAAUUUCCAUAGACGAGAAUGACUUAAAUUCAAACUACGGUUCCCCAACGCAGAAUCUGAGCUAUUUUAAACCUGCGGGGUAGGUGCCUUGGUCCUCUGUUUUCUGUCAGGGCCACCUUACUUCCCAUCCUCUCCUAGAGCACGAGUCAACUGCCCCGGCUCCCCAGAGAUCCACCAGAUGGAGAGAGACCUUUCCUGAUUACUCUUCCUGCAUUUGAGGUUUCCGAUUAUUGCGUGAAACGAUGCCAACUGACCCCACCUAUCAUUUCUCCUAGGUCCGUUAACUCCAUUAGAAAAACAGGCUUCGCAGAACAAAUGCUGUAGAAUAAGCAGCGUUGGAUUCUUAAGCUUCUGGGAGGCUUUAUUCUGUGUGAAUGAAAAUAUGUAUUUCCGCAAGUAAGGCAAAUUUAAAAGCAAGCAAACAUCGGUGGGUGGCUCAGAUGCUCCUCUGUGCUACAGGUGAGCCUCCUUCCACGGUGCACACACCCUGACAGCCGGGGCUCAGGGGACACCCAGCAGCACGUGUGUGGCUCCACCGUCCAUUCUCCAGUGCCUGACUUUUCUCCUCCAGCGCUGAUCUUAGCUGCACACUUCAGACUGCCGCUCAAGGAGAGCCCGCUUCUGUUUUUCAUCUCUUGCCAUUUCAUUUUACUUGCGCAUCCUGCAUGCAGUGGUGUUUAGUAGGGAGAAGGGGAUGUCAGACAAGACAACUACAUCCCAGUAACUGCUUUCUGUAGUCAUCCUGAUCCUACGUCUCUUACUGAAGCCAUCACUGUUGUCACAUACCUCGUAUAACGAAAAGAAGGAACCGUGACAACUGACCAGGACAGCAUGUACUUCUCUACCUGAAGCUACAAGCAGGUCUACCACAUCUCCAAGCCCUGCUUUUCUUACCUCAUUCUCCCUUUCAGCGUCCACCCUGUGCCAGGGUGGGCGCAUCUACGCAUGCCAUUAAAGCGGCGUGAUAAACUCUGGCACAGUCCGCACCAGUCAGCUGCUCCUGGGCACAGCGUCUGCACAUGCACUUGGGACCACAGCCGGUUGAGCCUGGACGGAGCAUCCCUGGGCUGGCAGGGGCCCAGGGGGUCAGCCCCAGGCUCUGGGUGGUGGCAGAGGGGCUGGCUGGGGCACGGGGAGGGUGUGAAAGUGCUUAUCGCCUAGCCCCACACUUUGGCACCCUCGUGUCCCAGUCAGCCCAUCACCACAUACAUAUGCAUUCCAGUCAGGGACAGUACGAUCCUAUGGUGGAGCUAAUUUGCUGCACCCUAAUACCGGGUCAUGUGUAGACAGUGACACUUCACUGUGGAGCCAAUCAGUCAACUGCAGUAAAGCACUCCAUGUGACACAAGAUACUGGGCAAGAUAGACCUAUGGCCUGAAUCAGUAAGUGGCAGUUCUUAUAUUUCUAAAAUGAUUCGUCUUCACCAAACUAAGAAACAGCAAGAUCAGACAGAGACAGACAGAAGUAUACUUAAAUGAUCUGUUCUGCCGACAGGGAGAACUCCUCAUACUCUAGAGCACAGCUGUGUUUCCCUUGCAAUUCCUUUCAAUUUGAACGCGUUAUUUCCCAGCAGAAAAGUGAGAGAGGGAACAAAGAAAACAAUGCUUAAUCAAAAGAACCAGUUUAGUAUUGGUCUAAAUUUCUCUACACUGCUCUCCAAACAGGCCUUCUCCAACUUCUGGGAGGAUCCCCGUAUCUUUUCUUGAGAUGUAAAUUCAGUUGCUGGGAUCUGGGACAUUACUGCCCCCUUUACAAUUGCCAGUAAGGAUGCCAUUUAGUGGCAGUUUCGCAUCAAUGGCAAGACAGGUGCAAAGGCCCUACAUGAUCACUAGCAUGCUCUGAAUUCACUGCAGUUCAGCUUUCCUCUCCCCAGGUAUACAUGCUAAGGCCAUGGUAAUGAGGCAGACUCGACUUCAGGCCAAUCAACAUCUAGAGGAAAUUCUAGACCCAUCAGCUGGAGCAGUGUGGCAUGUCCUGCUGAAAUAGGAGAACUAAGCUCUGCCAGAACCAUUUAUCUCUGAAAGGUCCACAUAUUCUCACUUACAAACCUAAGGUUACUGAAAACAUAGCAUGUCCACCUACUCGAACUCCUCCAACCACUGCUGGACCAGAUGGUUGAUUAACCUGUUCUCUACUUCCCAAUAUACAAAGUCUCUCCAUGGCACAUGCGGUUCUCAGACCAGCAAUUUGGUUUAUGCAGUUUCAGUAUUUCAUUUUAAAUACCUAAAAUGACAGCUCCUCUCUCUCUCUCUCACCUCCCCUUUGGAUCACUAAGGGAACCACCAUUCCGGGUGAAUUUGGAGGGAACACUUCUCUCUGGGGGAGACGGGCCACCCCGUGCCCACUUGCACGUGUAACCUGCAUGGUAGCCAGGUUGUUCAGUGUUCAAGGGGGCAUUUUAAAUGACUUGGUGAAAAGGUAAUCAUAGGAAGCCAAAAUAACACUAGUGGUUGCUUCACCAGGCGAGGCCCACGCACAAAAUACUCCUGCUAUAAGUAUUGGAAGGAUGUAUAAUAGAUGCAAUACAAAUAAUAGAAAUUUACAGUAAAACCAAAGGCUACAUAAAAUAGAUUGCUAUGUCCAGAACAAUGGAAACUUAUUCUUACUAAUUACUGCAGAAAGCAACAAGAGAGGAAGGAUGUUCCACCUGCUAGGACAAAUGUGGAAGACUAUGAGCAACCAAGGCCCAAUUAGCCAUUCCAAAGGUUUGCUGUGGGACUACGGGCAAGAGUAUAAUAUUCCCAACCUCAUGGUGUGCUGUCAGGAUGAAUACAUUUUUAAAAUUGCAAGAAGCCUAGAUAGUAUGCUAGUGGGAAGCACCCAAGUACCUCAGAUAGGGGCAUACAUGCACAACUUAAACUAAGUAAUUCCAUGUUUAAAUCAAGUAACUUUAUAAAUAACUAUCGAACUGCCCAGUUGUCUCCUGAGUAGCUCAAGUAUGUACAAACAAAGGGUAACGCAGAAAUGGAAAGCAGCAAAAUACCCGUUUCCUUUAAAGGGAAGUACAUUCACCUCAGAUAGAGCAGACUAGAAUUAGCUGCAUUGUAUGAAUCCAGCAGAACUGCCAAUCGCCAUUUUGUAGCUAGAGAACACCUUGACAAUAAGAACAGAACUCAAAACUCAGGAAGGCAAAAGCUGACCACUUGUCCCUUGCGCGUCAGAGAUCCAGGCAAGUAAUGCAGAAGCCUUAAACCCUUCUCUGAACUGCCCCUUUUAUUUCAGAUCUUUUUCUAUAAAAUGUGCACAAAGUUAGAAGACUGAAUGCUCUACAUAAAUAGUCUAAAUAAAACACACAGCUGCCCCUAGGUAGAGAAUUGAGAAGUGAAACAUUUUAGUUGAAAUAAAUACAAACUGGGACUCUCAGAAGUAUUUAGCUCUGCUUGCUACACUGGAUAAUAUAGAAAUAGCCGAGUGACACUGGAGUGCCAUUAACAAUGAACAUAAAAACAAGAGUCUAGGAUGUACCACCAUUCAGUAAUUAUGCGUUAACUAGAUUCAAUGCCCAGUUCACAAGCAUGAUAGCUUUCUUCCAUUCCUACCGUUACCGUUUUUAAUGAGUUUUGCAUUAUACUUCUAAGAUACGAACCUAGUGGCAACAUGGGCAGUGAUUCCUGAAGCUGCCUGAAAGCUUUUCUGAAAUCUUUUUCCCCACUCCAUUAUUUUACAAGCUUCUGCCAAAUUCUGAUGUUCGCUGCGCAGCGAUAACCCCAUUGUAACUACAGCUCACGUUCACUGUGGACUGACUACACUGCAUGAAAUAUAUUUCUUUUGCUAUUUCCUUGA